rnacentral:rRNA from 1 species
UACGUAGGGGGCAAGCGUUGUCCGGAAUUAUUGGGCGUAAAGCGCGCGCAGGCGGUCAUUUAAGUCUGGUGUUUAAUCCCGGGGCUCAACCCCGGAUCGCACUGGAAACUGGGUGACUUGAGUGCAGAAGAGGAGAGUGGAAUUCCACGUGUAGCGGUGAAAUGCGUAGAUAUGUGGAGGAACACCAGUGGCGAAGGCGACUCUCUGGGCUGUAACUGACGCUGAGGCGCGAAAGCGUGGGGAGCAAACAGGAUUAGAUACCCUGGUAGUCCACGCCGUAAACGAUGAGUGCUAGGUGUUAGGGGUUUCGAUACCCUUGGUGCCGAAGUUAACACAUUAAGCACUCCGCCUGGGGAGUACGGUCGCAAGACUGAA